rnacentral:misc_RNA from 1 species
CUUGGCCUUUUCUUUUAAGUCCAACAAGUCAAUACUUACGGGGCUUAUCUACACCCAUCUCUCUUUCUCAUAUCCGGUACUGAAAAAUCUUAACCAGGAAAAAGAUGUCUAAUCCGGCCGAAUCCUCCGCUGUUCCGAUGGGAUAUUCGGUCCCGGUGUGCAGUGCCGACCCUCGGGUUCCCCUCCAAAACCUAUCCGCAGUGAGGGUGAGAAUGGAUUCUCUGCAACAGUUCUUGUCGGAUUCUGUUUACAACAAUAACUUAAUCAGUAAAGAUCAGAUGGAAAUGAUCUCCGUCGAGAUCUCUUCCGCCAUCCACCAGAUUAUCGUCAAUGGGGCUGCACUUCUCGCUUGUUCCCAACCAGUGGUCGAGCCUCCGACCGGUGCUAGACUUGUGGAGAAACUUUCAGAUCCACCCGAUCUGAAAAUUGCAACGAAACUCCCUAAUUCAUUGGAAGGCAAUUCCGAAAAAGGUAAUCAGGCGGCGGUGUUCAGUUUGAAAGUGGAGGAAAGGGAUGAUUUGGAUGUUGACUGUGACAUAGUGGAGCUGGAUGCUGUGGAAUUGCUGGCGGAGCACGUUCAUUU